AUUGAACGCUGGCGGCAGGCUUAACACAUGCAAGUCGAGCGGAGAUGAGGUGCUUGCACCUUAUCUUAGCGGCGGACGGGUGAGUAAUGCUUAGGAAUCUGCCUAUUAGUGGGGGACAACAUUCCGAAAGGAAUGCUAAUACCGCAUACGUCCUACGCGAGAAAGCAGGGGAUCUUCGGACCUUGCGCUAAUAGAUGAGCCUAAGUCGGAUUAGCUAGUUGGUGGGGUAAAGGCCUACCAAGGCGACGAUCUGUAGCGGGUCUGAGAGGAUGAUCCGCCACACUGGGACGGAGACCCGGCCAAGACUCCUACGGGAGGUAGCAGUGGGGAAUAUGGGACAAUGGGGGAAACCCUGAUCCAGCCAUGCCGCGUGGGUGAAGAAGGCCUUAUGGUUGUAAAGCACUUUAAGCGAGGAGGAGGCUACUGAGACUAAUACUCUUGGAUAGUGGACGUUACUCGCAGAAUAAGCACCGGCUAACUCUGUGCCAGCCGCCGCGGUAA
rnacentral:rRNA from 1 species